GAUGAACGCUGGCGGCGUGCCUAAUACAUGCAAGUCGAGCGAACAGACGAGGAGCUUGCUCCUCUGACGUUAGCGGUGGACGGGUGAGUAACACGUGGAUAACCUACCUAUAAGACUGGGAUAACUUCGGGAAACCGGAGCUAAUACCGGAUAACAUGUUGAACCGCAUGGUUCAACAGUGAAAGACGGUCUUGCUGUCACUUAUAGAUGGAUCCGCGCCGCAUUAGCUAGUUGGUAAGGUAACGGCUUACCAAGGCAACGAUGCGUAGCCGACCUGAGAGGGUGAUCGGCCACACUGGAACUGAGACACGGUCCAGACUCCUACGGGAGGCAGCAGUAGGGAAUCUUCCGCAAAGGGCGAAAGCCUGACGGAGCAACGCCGCGUGAGUGAAGAAGGUCUUCGGAUCGUAAAACUCUGUUAUUAGGGAAGAACAAAUGUGUAAGUAACUAUGCACGUCUUGACGGUACCUAAUCAGAAAGCCACGGCUAACUACGUG
rnacentral:rRNA from 1 species